rnacentral:rRNA from 1 species
UACGAAGGGGGCUAGCGUUGUUCGGAAUUACUGGGCGUAAAGCGCACGUAGGCGGAUUUGUUAGUCAGGGGUGAAAUCCCGGGGCUCAACCUCGGAACUGCCUUUGAUACUGCAAGUCUCGAGUCCGGAAGAGGUGGGUGGAAUUCCUAGUGUAGAGGUGAAAUUCGUAGAUAUUCGCAAGAACACCAGUGGCGAAGGCGGCUCACUGGCCCGGUACUGACGCUGAGGUGCGAAAGCGUGGGGAGCAAACAGG